CGGCGGACGGGUGAGUAAUGCCUAGGAAUCUGCCUGGUAGUGGGGGACAACGUUUCGAAAGGAACGCUAAUACCGCAUACGUCCUACGGGAGAAAGCAGGGACCUUCGGGCCUUGCGCUAUCAGAUGAGCCUAGGUCGGAUUAGCUAGUUGGUGAGGUAAUGGCUCACCAAGGCGACGAUCCGUAACUGGUCUGAGAGGAUGAUCAGUCACACUGGAACUGAGACACGGUCCAGACUCCUACGGGAGGCAGCAGCG
rnacentral:rRNA from 1 species